rnacentral:lncRNA from 1 species
UAAAUUCCUUCCUAAGGCUACUAAUCUUGUUAUUGAUCUGGAGAAUGGCACAUUGCCCCCACAAUCAAAGGUGGAGACUCAAAGGGUGGUCGUGAAGACAGAGAAGGAUGAGAGGGAGAAUUCACCUAAAUGGUUGAGGGGACGAAAGAAUCUUCACAGAGAAGAUCAUGAAUUAGAAGAAAGGAGUAGAAAGCAGUCAGCAGUUCAUCUGGAAGAAGACGAAGAUGAGCUAUCAGAGAUGUUUGAUAGGGUAUUGCUAUGUUCUGAUCCUAAAGCAGAGCGUUCUUACUACUGUACUGGGGAAGAAGACUGCAAUAGCUUGCAGCAGUCUGAACAUCCACAGUCUAAUGCUGAAAAGACACGCACUAAGAAGUCAUCUAAGGAAGUGGUGGAUUUGAGAACUCUGUUGAUUCACUGUGCACAAGUUGUCUCUACCUAUGAUCUCAGGACUGCAAAUGAACUACUAAAGCAGAUUAGGCAGCACUCUUCCCCUUUUGGUGAUGGAUCGCAGAGGUUGGCUCAUUUCUUUGCUGAAGGCCUGGAAGCACGCUUGGCAGGCACUGGGACAGAGAUUUAUACUGUCCUAGCUUCCAAGAAGGUGUCAGCUGCUGCUAUGUUGAAAGCUUACGAACUUUUCCUUGCAGCCUGCCCAUACAAGAUGAUCUCUAUUUUCUUUGCGAACCAUAUGAUUUUGCGUUUAGCUGAGAAAGCAAAAGUGCUUCAUAUUAUAGAUUUUGGUAUCUUAUACGGCUUCCAAUGGCCUGGCCUCAUCCAACGUCUCUCAGCAAGACCUGGAGGGCCUCCCAAGCUUCGAAUUACAGGAAUAGAGCUUCCCCAACCGGGUUUCCGGCCAGCAGAAAGAGUUGAGGAGACAGGGCGCCGACUGGCAAGGUAUUGUGAACGAUUCAAUGUUCCAUUUGAGUACAAUGCCAUAGCAAAGAAGUGGGAAACUAUCCAAAUUGAGGAUCUCAAGGUUGACAGCAAUGAGGUAAUUGCUGUGAACAGCAUGUUCCGGUUUAAGAAUUUACUUGAUGAGACAAUUGUGGUGGACAGCCCAAGGAAUGCGGUUUUGGGCUUAAUCAGGAAAAUUAAUCCUCAUAUUUUCAUCCAUUCCAUCACUAAUGGUUCGUAUAAUGCACCAUUCUUUGUCACACGGUUCCGGGAAGCACUGUUUCACUUCUCUGCAGUGUUUGAUGCGUUGGGUAACAACAUAGCCAGUGAAAAUGAGCACAGGUUAAUGUAUGAGAAAGAAUUCCUGGGGCAGGAGGUGAUGAACGUCAUAGCAUGUGAGGGUUCUGAAAGGGUUGAGAGGCCUGAGACAUACAGGCAGUGGCAGGUUCGGACCCUGAAUGCUGGGUUCAGACAGCUCCCAUUAAAUCAGGAGCUCACAAAGAAAUUGAAGACCAAGGUUAAGUUGGGUCACCACAAGGAUUUUUUGGUGGAUGAAGAUGGGAAUUGGCUGCUGCAGGGUUGGAAGGGACGAGUUCUCUUCGCUUCCUCCUGUUGGAUACCCGCGUAGGAGGCCAGAAAUCAGUCUUCUGGAAGUGUAGUAGUGUUAGUUAAGUGUCCAGUAUGUGCAAGGGUGAUCUGAGGUACUGCCUUCUUUGGCGUUUUAGAUCUCUCUCCUACGCACAUUCGUGUCAUCGUGUGUACAUCCAUGUGGUCUUAUUGUAGCAUUUUUAAGUUAUAAGCUUGAUCCUAUUAGCGCCUUAAGUGUGCUGGGAGUUGACUGAAAUUUUGUAUGAUAUGACUUUGUUGUAAUGCUUAGGAAAGAGUUGGAGUUGGUCCUCUUUAGGACUACUCAUUUAAUGCUUCCAUGAAAAUCCGUUGGAAACUAAAAUAUUAACCAAUUUUUUUUAUUUGAAUUAGUUUCUAAAAUUUUAUUUUGAAAAUAAAUUAUAUUUUAGAAUAAUGUGAAAAACAAUUAAAAAUAUAUAUAUAUAUAAAAUCUUUGGAAAUUGUUGAAUGCCUUUAUUAGAAUAAAUGAGAUAAAAUUCUUUUCUAGUUAAGUUUCCAAACAAAAUUAUUAAAUUUCUUUUAAUAUGGAUUUUCUGUCCCACACGUGCGAUUGAGUUGAGGGAGUGUUGACCUUGCUCGUGCUCCUUAAGCAUAGGUCCCUUUCCUUUUUUGCCUUAUACACCUAGUCCCAUGCCCCAUGUUUACUCUUUUUGUCAUCCUUGUUCCCCACAUAAAUCUGUUUUUGUGAUGGGAGUGGGAAUCAAUCAAAUGGGCAGGCUUCAUGUUUUUGUUUUUCAAAAAAAAAAAAUGGUAGUAACUUUUAUUUAGUUACACAAACUCUUAGUUAUUUAUAUUGAAAAAGGAUUGAUUUUUAAAAAUUAUUUAAAAAAUUAAAGUUUUAAAAGUAAUUCUUAAAAUAUAAGAUAAAUUUAAUGAUUUUGAAAACAAAAGAUAAUAAGCAUAUCUAAUUGGACACUUAGAUUUUUUUUUUUUUUUUGUUAUUUCAUUUAACUAUUUAUAUGGUAAUGGUUGAUAUUGAGGCUAAUCAAAGUUUGGCACAAUUUAUUAAUAUAACUAUAACUUAAUGUGUUUUUUGUGAGUUUAGAUAGAGUAUUAUUAUGUUUGAGUCAAAUUCAUGACCUAUUUAAUAAACAAAUAGUGUUUUUAGUAAGAUUGUAUUAUACCAAAUUUGAUUAGAUUGACCAGUUAAAUAAUUGUUCUAAUUGACAUGAUUAUAAUCACAACUUAUUUAAAUAAUAUUUAAUUCAUUUAAAGUGUGAUUUUAAAUAAUUUGAGUAUAAAUUUAUCAGAUUUCAAGAUUAAUCAUAUUAUUUCAAAUAAGACUUAAUUUGACUUUAUUAUUAGAUAGAACUCAAAUUAUUAAAUUUUGCUAUCUUAAAAUUUAAAAAUUUUAAAAAUGAUUUUUAAAAGCAUAAGAUAAACCUAAACUUUAUAAAAUAUUCUACUUUUAUAUAUAAGGUUUUUUUAAAAAUAAAAAUAAAAAUAAAUAAGUAUAUCUAAUUAGACACUUAAAAGUCCUUUUUUUUUUCUUUCUAUUCCCUUUGGCUAUUUCAUUUAACCAUUCAUACGGUAAUUGUUCAUAUUGAGGUUAAUCAAAGUUUGAUACAAUUUAUUAAUUUGACUAUAAUUUAACAUGUUUUUUUGCGGGUUAAAAUUAAAUAUAAUUAUAUUUGAGUCAAAUUCAUGAUUGUUUAAUGAACAAAUUGUUUUUUCAAUAAAUCUACAUUACACAAAUUUGUUCUGAUUGACAUAAUUACAACUAGAACUUAUUUAAAUUAUAUUUAAUUCAUUUACAAUUUGAUUUUAAUUAAAUUAAGUAUGAAUAUAUCAAAUUGAAUCAAAUAAGACAUAACUUAAACUUAUUAUUAAAUAAAAUUUGAUUAUUUAAUUAGUUACAUAAUGUAUUACUUAUUUAAUCAUUAGUAGAUAUUUGAAUUCAUACUUUUAAUCCGGUUAUUAUUUGUAUAGUAUUUGGAUUAACCUAUUUAGUUUGACAAACCCAAUCCAUCCACACCAAUUAUGAUCGUUGGAAGCGACUUUUUUUUAUUAGAAUGACAUUUCAUCAUCAUCGUUGCAAUGGUUGACUUGCCCUUUAUAUAGUAGUUUUCAUUGACUUUCUAAGUUAAUCAUGAUCGUGCUUGUAGCUUUUUAGUUAGAUUCUAAAUCAGGAAACACGGGUUAUGUCAAUGCGUCCCGAUAAUUAGGUGGGGAUUUAUGCAGGUACCUUUGGUGGAUAGUACCUAAGGAAUGUCUCUUUUCUUGAUGUAGGGUUGAAAUGAGUUGCCUAUUUUUUGAAUCACCAACCCUAAUCCAAAUAUUUUUAUAUCUCAUAUGAAAUAUUUUUUUAUUUUGUUUUUCAAUGUAGUGAGGAGUGGUUGCAUUUAAACCGAACCUCUAUCAAAUUACUUCUAAAAGGAAAAAAGGUAGCACCUUUGGGCAUGAUUAAAAUAUCAAGUAUCAGAACAUUUCGACACGAUAUAUGCAAGAGAAAUAUCGGAAAAUAUCGGUUCCACGAAAUUGUCAAUUUAUCGUGAGUUUCCCAUAUUUUCGAGAUUUAAUAGCAUUUUCUCAAUUUAUCGUCGAUAUAUCACAAUAUUUCGGGCUAUCAACACAUUCAACGCAAUAAGCCAACUACUGGGGCAAGUUUACCCCUUGAUAUAUAAAUUGCACCAAAUAAAUAUAAACUCAAAUUCAUCAUAUAAACAUAUUUUUUUUAAAAUGAUUUAAAUAAAAAAUUAAUUAUAAUUAUUUUAUAAUUAAAUGAAAUUUUUUCAUCUAUUUGAAUACUGAAAAUAUAAAAAUUAUCGUGAUAAUUUUAUUCAUAGUGUUUUUAAUAUCAUUAAUAUAUUAAUUAAGUAUUAAAAACUAUACAUACAUCAUUAUUUAUUUUAUAUCAUUUAAUACAAUUAAAUUAAAUGAAUUAUAAUUUUAAUAUUAAUAUAUUUUAAAAAUUUUCAAAUAUCACAAUAUCAUUAUCGAAUAAUAUUUGAUAUAAUUUAAUAAUAAAUAUAUACUUAUGAAAUUCAUAUUUUUUUUAUUAGCACAUACAAUAUUAUUAUCAAAUAUGAUAAAUUAUAUUAUACGUAUAUUAAUUUAUUGAAUAAAACAAUUUUAAAAUAUCUACUACAUUUCAAAUUUUAUUUUUAAGUUUUUUUCUUAUGUUUAUAUAUAUUUAUCAAUUUUAGGUUCACCGAUAUUUUAUGUCAAAAUAUCCGUCGAUAUAUUUUCGAUAUAUCUGUAAAAUGAAAGUACCAAUAUAUCCAUAAUUACCGAUAUUUUCAUCUUUGCCUUUGAGCGAAAUAGAUGCGUAAACACAUUGUUAAUUGUGUACACCUGUUCUCAAAACUUUAACCUAGUAACUAAAGCAAAGAUCAUUAGUCAAAUUUCUAAAAAUGUUAGGAACACUAUGAUUAAAAAUUGUAUUAGGUAUUCGGUCCAAGUGGUGGCAAAAGGUUGAUCUUCCAUGAUGAAUUUAAUCCAAGUGCCAUGAACCCGAUCUAAUUUAGUAGAUGAAAUAAAAUCAUUGUAUUCAUCAUAUAUUUGUAUUGUAAGAUUAAUAUAUUUUUAUCAUGCUUCUAUUUUGACUUUUAUGUUCGAGACAUUAAUACUAUAGCUUAUACAUGUAAUGGAUUAUUAUCAUUGAAAAGUAAAAGUUAAAUGAUGAUAGAAACAAAAGCCCAAAAAAGACAUUAUUGAAAUUAUGAAAAACGUGACUCAUGAAUUUGUGAUUUUGUUGACCCGAUUAGAAAGUUAUGGAAGGAAAGAUGAUUUUUCGUUUGAAUUUUUUCCCACCUAUUAGAAAAAUGUUCUUAGUUUGACGAAAGAGUGGAGGUAAAAAUUAUGUAAUGUCUAAUAUGGAGGUUGAGAUGGUCAGCAGCAUAAUGGCUUGAUUUUACCAUACCUGGAAAAUUGGAAAUGUCAAUUAUAUUUUUGAAAUAUAAUAAGUAAGAAUAUUAUUGAAGUGGAGCCGGAGGACGAACAAGGCCCAGCAUUAGGAGAAGGUAGACCACAUACAACGGUGGAUAACGGUUUGACCGGAGAAAGGUUGAAGCCACCGUGCCGACGUCACCCAAGAAAUGGAAAGUUUAAAAAAGCUGUCAGAAAAGACCGCAAUUUUUUUUUAACCAACGUGGCACUAGGUUACUGGAUAGUUAGGCGAGUAGAGGUGCGGCAGGGGAAGGAGUCUAUAGUAUUCACUAUUCACAGGUCAAAAGAUGGGAGUAGAGGUGGCGAGGAGCAGUCACUUGUUGGACGGAAGGACCGGUUAUAGCCGGUGGAGCUUGGCAUUGUGGCAGUGCCACGUCCGAUGCCUUCCCAGAAGCUUCGAGGAUGAGCAUCCCCUCUUUCCUAUCCUCUCCUUUAUAUGAAGUCGAUCGUACCGUCCAGUCUGGUCUCAACCCUCCUGUUCAGUUUGUUUUCCCUCUACUCGCCUCUAGGGAUUGGGUUCCAAACUCUCUCUUCUCUCCUUUGCUCUACAAAUUCAUCUAUUUUCAGGGUUCUUGAACUUGAAUUUUGCUUCACUUCUCUGUAGCGCCCGUAUUGGUAACUUCUUUUCGAUACGAGUAUGUCCAAAUUUAAAUUUUUUUUCCUUUCCAUUUUUGUUGUUCUAUCAAUGAUUUUUUUUAUUCUUAUGUGAUUUGGGUUUCUGUAAAUUACAGUUGAUCUCUAAAUAGGAACUGAAAUCUAAAUUAGGGUUGAGAGUUAGUUGUUUAGUGGGAAUUGAUUUUUUAGGGUUCAGAUUUCGGCUUUGGAUCCACGUUUGAGGGGAUUUGUUGAUGCGAUGAAUGGUAUCGAAUUCAAUGGUCAAGCCUUUUUGACUGGUUCAGAUCAGUAUCCGAAUUUUGAAAAUGGAUUCACAUUUGAUGCUCACUCGCCUCUAGAUCUUAACUUCUUAGAUCAUCCUUUUCUUCCUCCUGAUGUGAACCUGGGUGUGUUUGCUCAAUCUUCGAGCUUGAGCCCAGAUGGAGAUUCUUCCGAUGACGGUGACUCUUCUGAUAGUUUUCUCAAGUACGUAAGCCAGGUGCUUAUGGAAGAGAAUCUGGAGGAUAAAGCCUGUAUGUUCCACGAUCCGCUGGCGGUACAAGCUGCUGAGAAGUCGUUUUACGACGUUCUUGGUGGGCAAAAUCCUACCUUCCGGAGUGAGCCCCCUGUUCAUGUUGACCAAGUUGUUGACAGCCCGGAUGAUAGCGUUUCGGGCAGUAGCAGUGACUAUGGUAGUUAUAGCAGUCGUAUCAAUGGUACUAGUAAUCUUCAGUGGAGUGCUGAUGCUCACAAUUCUGCGAACCAUCAGUGGGUUGUUGAUCCCGGUGAUCGUAACUACAAAUCCUCUUUCCUACAAAACCCUCUUCCUGAAAAUUAUGUUUUUGGGUCUGCUUUAGGAUCAGCUUCGCCGUCUUCUGUCACCUCUUCUGAUAGCUUCAGUAACAUCGGUAAUGGAGUUGUUGACUCUUCACCAAAAACAGUCUUGGUUCCAAAUAUUUUUAGUGAUAGUGAGUCGAUCUUGCAGUUCAAGAGAGGGGUAGAGGAAGCUAGUAAAUUCCUUCCUAAGGCUACUAAUCUUGUUAUUGAUCUGGGGAAUGGCACAUUGCCUCCACAAUCAAAGGUGGAGACUCAAAGGGUGGUUGUGAAGACAGAGAAGGAUGAGAGGGAGAAUUCGCCUAAAUGGUUAAGGAGAAGAAAGAAUCUUCACAGGGCUGAUAUCGAAUUAGAAGAAGGAAGGAGAAGCAAGCUGUCAGCCGUUGAUUUGGAAGAAGACGAUGAUGAGCUAUCGGAGAUGUUUGAUAAGGUGUUGCUA